GGGGAUAAAAGUCGUAACAAGGUCUCCAUUGGUGAAUCACGGAGGGAUCAUUACCGAGUUUACAACUCCCAAACCCAAUGUGAACGUUAACCAAACUGUUGCCUCGGCGGGAUCUUCUGCCCCGGGUGCGUCGCAGGCCCGGACCAAGGCGCCCGCCGGAGGCCUCAACCAAAUAGGCUCGCUGUAGAUGCGCUGAGAUGUCGCUCGCUGAUGCGCUCGUAGGAUGCUCGUAGGAUAGUCGCUGUAGAUGCUCGCUGAGAUGCUCGUAGAUGAUAGUGCUAUGCGUCGCCUGCGGUUCUGACAUCGAUGAAGAACGCAGCGAAAAUGCGAUAAGUAAUGUGAAUUGCAGAAUUCAGUGAAUCAUCGAAUCUUUGGAACGCACAUUGCGCCCCUCCAGUAUUCUGGGGGGCAUGCCUGUCCGAGCGACAUUUCAACCCUCGAACCCCUCCGGGGGGUCGNCGUUGGGGAUCGGCCUUCCUUCACGGGGGCGUCUCCGAAAUACAGUGGCGGUCUCGCCGCAGCCUCUCCUGCGCAGUAGUUUGCACACUCGCAUCGGGAGCGCGGCGCGUCCACAGCCGUUAAACACCCAACUUCUGAAAUGUUGACCUCGGAUCAGGUAGGGA
rnacentral:rRNA from 1 species